ensembl:lncRNA
GGAGGAGGAAGAAGAGUUAAAUGAAGACCAAGGAGAGCCCAGCUCCAUAGUUAAUCUUCCUGGUGAAUCCACCCUCCGACGAGAGUUUCUCAGGCUGCAGCAGGAAAAUAAGAAAAACCCAUUUUCAAAGCAGCAACAACUGAGGCGAGAACAGCAGCAGCAGCAACAGCUGCUAUGGCAACGUUUGGAGCAGGAGCAGCAGGAUCUGCAGCGAAAGCAGCAAAAUCUGCAGCAGGAGCAACAAAAUCGGCAGCAGAAGCAACAAGAUCUACAGCAGGAGCAGCGAGGUCUGCAGCAGGAGCAUCCAGAUCUGCAGCAGGAGAAACAGGUGCCAGAGCCCUUGCCUCAGAAACAACCUCAGGUAGACCCAAAGCUGCAGUUAUCACAGCAGGAGCAGCCAGAUUUGCAGCAGCAGCAGCAGCCAGAUCUGCAGCAAGAGCAGCAAAAUCUGCAGCGGGAGAAACAAGCACCUGAACUACUGCCACAGCUGCAGUUAUUGCAGCCGGAGCAGCAACAGGAGCAGCAAGAUCUGCAGCAGGAGAAACAGGCACCACAGUUACUGCCAAAGCCUCAGAAAACACCUCAGGUACUGCCAACACUGCAGUUAUCACAGCAGGAGCAGCAAGAUCUGCAGCAGGAGAAAGAGGCACCUGAAGUACUACUGAAGCCUCAGAAACAACCUCAGGGACUGCCAAAGCUGCAACCAGAGCAUCACCAGGAGCAGCAGCCUCAAAAGCAGAAGCAGGAGCAACAGCAGCAGCAGCAGCUGCCGCCACCGCCACCACCACCUCCAAAGCAGGAGCAGCAGCAGCAGGAGCAGCAGCAGCAGGAGCAGCAGCAGCAGCAUCAGCAGCCUUCAAAGCAGGUGCAGCAGCAGCAGCAGCAGCAGCCUCCAAAGCAGGUGCAGCAGCCUCCAAAGCAGAUGCAGCAGCCUCCAAAACAAGGACAGCAGCUGCCAAAGCAGGGACAGCAAUUGCCAAAGCAGGCGGCCCGUCACCAGGCACAGCAGCAACCGCAGUCUCCAGAUCAUCACUGGCUGCAUUUUCCACCAAAGCCCAACCAUCACCACACACAGCUGCUACCAAAGCAUCUAGCAUUUUACCAGGCGCAUCAUGGGCUACAGUUGCCAGGCCAUCACCACACACAACUGCUGCCGAAGCAGAUGGCCCAUUACCAGUCACAGCAUCCACCAAGGGUCCAUCACCAUGCGCAGCAGCCACCAAAGGUGCCACCCCAUCUCCAGGCACAGCAGCCACCAAAGGUGGUGCUCCACCAGGUGUAUCAGCCACCAAAGGUGCCGCCCCAUCUCCAGGCACAGCAGCCACCAAAGGUCGUGCUCCACCAGGUGUAUCAGCCACCAAAGGUGACAGUCCACCAAGUGCAGCAGCCACCAAAGGUGACAGCCCACCAAGUGCAGCAGCCACCAAAGAUGCCAGCCUAUAACCAACCAGCACAGCUGCCAGUCUAUCACCAGCCACAGCAACCAGCUCAGCAGCUUGGCCAUCGCCAGAUGAAGCAGCCUUCUCAUCCCCUGUCACCAUAUCAACAGCCUCAGCAACCAGGCCAGCAGGUUCCACAGCAGCUGGCCCAUCACCAGGUGAAACAGCGUCCACAGCAGCCUGCUAAUCAUCAGACACAACUACAACCAGAGCAGCAGCAGCAACUCAAAGACCAGGAUAAGACCAAGGAUCCAGUCCUGACUGAGUGGCAGAAAUGCAAGGAGCAACAGAAGGAGCAGAAGAAGAAACCUGAGGAUGUAAGAGUUGGUUGACAUCUAUUCCCCAUGUCAAAUCUAGGUGCCCUUGAUGCAUAAGUAUAUU